CCUACGGGAGGCAGCAGUGAGGAAUAUUGGUCAAUGGACGAGAGUCUGAACCAGCCAAGUAGCGCGAAGGAUGACUGCCCUAUGGGUUGUAAACUUCUUUUAUAUGGGAAUAAAACGUUCCACGUGUGGGAUUUUGUAUGUACCAUAUGAAUAAGGAUCGGCUAACUCCGUGCCAGCAGCCGCGGUAAUACGGAGGAUCCGAGCGUUAUCCGGAUUUAUUGGGUUUAAAGGGAGCGUAGGUGGAUUGUUAAGUCAGUUGUGAAAGUUUGCGGCUCAACCGUAAAAUUGCAGUUGAAACUGGCAGUCUUGAGUACAGUAGAGGUGGGCGGAAUUCGUGGUGUAGCGGUGAAAUGCUUAGAUAUCACGAAGAACUCCGAUUGCGAAGGCAGUUCACUGGACUGCAACUGACACUGAGGCUCGAAAGUGUGGGUAUCAAACAGGAUUAGAUACCCCAGUAGUC
rnacentral:rRNA from 1 species